CCAAGACCAGGGGCUGGCAGCUGGUCUCAGUAUCGAGACCCCCUUCCUGACAGUCAGCGCCCCAGACACGGAGAGGCGGCUUCUCAAGGGCUUACGCUCCCUGCUGCCCGGGGUGGUGACUUGGCAGGUACUCAGGUGUCGUUGAGGGGUGAGUCAUGAUUUAUAUGAGUGUGACGAAAGCCUACAACAGCUUUCUCUGUCAUGGAGGUGGCCAGCCUAGGGCUGGCAUCCUGAUUUUAUCAUAAUCAGGAGCUGAAGGUCUCUGAUUAUAUAGAGGAUAUAGAGGGAAAAACAAACUCAGACUCAGUUUCUCCUGUGCCCUCACAACUCAGGUCGCUUCUGACGCCACAUGUGUUUUUGCCCACAUACCAAGCUAGCAGGCAUGCUGCAGCAGCACACUCCUAAUUUAAUUAGAUCCCCUAAUCUACUGGGGGUCCUUUUAGACUGCAUAAUUUGAAGGCUCAGCCCCUGGGACUGCCCCCACCCCUAAAUGCCAGUCACAAGCCCCCAGGUUGGUUUCACGCUGCUUCUGACUGACUGGCUAUCAAUAAGGAUUCCCACUACCCCCUCUCUGUAAGUUUGAUUAAUUUGCUUAAGUGACUCCUGGAACUCAGGGAAGAACUUAGGAUUCCCAGUGGCUUCUUAACAAGGAUAUCACAAAGGAUAUGGACAGAGCAAGGUGUGGGGAAGGGGGCGGUCCUUUCCUGCCCUCCCUGGUUGCAUCACACUCUAGAACCCCCAGAUGCUCAGCUAUCCAGAAGCUCUCCAAACCCUGUCCUAUAGGGUUUGUAUGGAGACCUCGUUGCAUAGACAUGAUUGAAUCUUGGGCAGCAGUAGAAAGUGACUGGACAAAAAGGGUCUGAUCAAAUGCCGGCAGAUUCAGUGGAGAAGCCCAGCCUGGCCUGUCCAGAUCCUUCUUGGCCUUUCUGGCCAGCAUCCUUUCCUUACUGGUAUGGGCAAGCUCCCUUCUGAAAUGCGUUUUAGGAUCAGAAAAGCGUAGGUCAGACACUUCAUAGCCAUCUCCAAGAUGGAAAGGUGGGGCAGAUCUGUGUUUCUGAGCCACUUUGGGGAAGAAUAAUAGUUUCCAAGGCCUACCUUGGAGAGAGAAAGAAGCGAGUGAAAGGGCAGAAAGGUCAGAGAGAGGGAUGUUGCUUCCUGAGACUUGUUAACGAGGUCCAACUCACCAACCCUUUUCUAGAAACUUAGGAAAUAACAAGAUCUGUGGAUGUUGUGAGCCAGGAACCACUGACAAAACUCAAAAUAGAUACGCAAUGUCUCAGGCUCCUCCUGAGCUGUUCCUGCCCGCUUCACCUGCGGCUGGAGUUCAGGCUGGUUGCUGGAGCUCCAGCCACGUCUCAGCAGUAGGAAGCAGGAAAGGUCAAAGACGGACAUGCCCCUUCCCACAGGAAUACACCCCACACAUCAUAAAGGACACUUGAGCAAGCAGAGCCGAGUCGCGGGGCCACGUGGAUGGCAGGGUAGGAAAUGCGUUUGUAUUUCAGGCGGCUAUGGAGUACGCGAUAAAGGAAGAGGAGGAGAGUGAUUAUUUGGGGCAAAUAGCUGACCCCCCCUCGCUGGAAGGGUCAGGUACUCCAAGACGGGUGGACCGUGUGAUUGUUCCUGUGCUCUUCCCUGUUCAGAGAUCUUGCUUUAAAAUGGCUUCUGGGCCGGCGCCGCGGCUCACUAGGCUAAUCCUCUGCCUAGCGGCGCCGGCACACCGGGUUCUAGUCCCGGUCGGGGCGCCGGAUUCUGUCCCGGUUGCCCCUCUUCCAGGCCAGCUCUCUGCUGUGGCCAGGGAGUGCAGUGGAGGAUGGCCCAGGUGCUUGGGCCCUGCACCCCAUGGGAGACCAGGAAAAGCACCUGGCUCCUGGCUCCUGCCAUCAGAUCAGCGCGGUGCACCGGCCGCAGUGCGCCUGCCGCGGCAGCCAUUGGAGGGUGAACCAACACAAAGGAAGACCUUUCUCUCUGUCUCUCUCUAGCACUGUCCACUCUGCCUGUUA